GCCAUCAGAUGAACCUGCGUUAGAUUAACUUGUUGGUGGGGUAAAGGCCUACCAAGGCUACGAUCUGUGGCUGGUCUGAAAAGAUGAUCAGCCACACUGGGACUGAGACCCGGCCCAGACUCCUUCGGGAGGCAGCCCUGGGGAAUAUUGGACAAUGGGCGAAAGCCUGAUCCAGCAAUGCCGCGUGUGUGAAGAAGGCCUGCGGGUUGUAAAGCACUUUCAGUUGGGAAAAUGACGGUUCCAAAAGAAGAAACACCGGCUAACUCCGUGCCAGCAGCCGCGGUAAUACGGAGGGUGCAAGCGUUAAUCGGAAUUACUGGGCGUAAAGCGCGCGUAGGCGGUUUGUUAAAUCUGAUGUGAAAGCCCCGGGCUCAACCUGGGAACUGCAUUCGAUACUGGCUGACUAGAGUCUGAUAAAGGGUAAUGGAAUUUCUUGUGUAGCGGUGAAAUGCGUAAAUAUCUGGAAGAACAUCACUGGCGAAGGCGACUGCCUGGAUCUAGACUGACGCUGAGGUGCGAAAACGU
rnacentral:rRNA from 1 species